CUUGAAAGCUAGGGGUUUAUAAACAAAACUCUUACAAAAGACCAAGUCCUUUAUGAAGAAUAUUCCUUUAAUGUCAAUGAGGUAAUAAUAGAACAAUCAAGUCUAGGAAAGUGAUGGUUAACCUUUUAGAGACUGAGUGUCAUGCCUCAUCUCCAGAGACUGUGUGCUGUGCCCUACCCCCCCCGGGGUGCCAGAGAAUGAAUUCUUUGUUCACCUUGCCAAAAAGAAUGAGAAAGAAGAAACAAGGAGGGCCCCAUUUUGGAGACAGAAAGCAAGAUACAGUCUUGAUUGCCCAGUGUUGA
rnacentral:lncRNA from 1 species